rnacentral:rRNA from 1 species
UACGGGAGGCAGCAGUGGGGAAUAUUGGACAAUGGGCGAAAGCCUGAUCCAGCCAUGCCGCAUGAGUGAAGAAGGCCUUCGGGUUGUAAAGCUCUUUUAGUGAGAAAGAUAAUGACGGUACUCACAGAAGAAGUCCUGGCUAACUCCGUGCCAGCAGCCGCGGUAAUACGGAGAGGGCUAGCGUUAUUCGGAAUUAUUGGGCGUAAAGAGCGCGUAGGCUGAUUAGUAAGUUAAAAGUGAAAUCCCAAAGCUUAACUUUGGAAUUGCUUUUUAAAACUGCUAGUCUAGAGAUUUGAAAGAGGAUAGAGGAAUUCCUAGUGUAGAGGUGAAAUUCGUAAAUAUUAGGAGGAACACCAGUGGCGAAGGCGUCUACCUGGUUCAAAUCUGACGCUGAGGCGCGAAGGGCGUGGGGAGCAAACAGGGAUUUAGAUACC